rnacentral:rRNA from 1 species
UACGGAGGGUGCAAGCGUUGUUCGGAAUCACUGGGCGUAAAGGGCGCGCAGGCGGUUUGGUAAGUCAGAUGUGAAAGCCCACGGCUUAACCGUGGAAGUGCAUUUGAAACUGCCAGACUUGAGUACCAGAGGGGAAAGUGGAAUUCCCGGUGUAGAGGUGAAAUUCGUAGAUAUCGGGAGGAAUACCGGUGGCGAAGGCGACUUUCUGGCUGGAUACUGACGCUGAGGCGCGAAAGCGUGGGGAGCAAACAGG